UACGGAGGGGGCUAGCGUUGUUCGGAAUUACUGGGCGUAAAGCGCGCGUAGGCGGCUUUGUAAGUUAGAGGUGAAAGCCCGGAGCUUAACUCCGGAACUACCUUUAAGACUGCAUCGCUAGAAUUGUGGAGAGGUAAGUGGAAUUCCGAGUGUAAAGGUGAAAUUCGUAGAUAUUCGGAAGAACACCAAUGGCGAAAACGACUCACUAAACACAUAUUGACGCUGAGGUGCGAAAGCGUGGAGAGCAAACAGG
rnacentral:rRNA from 1 species